AAAUAGACCUGCAGGAUCUCUUGAUUGGCACGUUGAUUUUACAUCUCACAACGUGUUCACCAUUACUUUGCCACCAAUAAUAGAGGAUAACUGAGAGGCAAUCAGACUUAGGUAGGAUUGUCUACUCAUGCACAGAAUCACCUUUCAUUAUCUAACAGUGCAUGAAGGUUAGAUAUUCCAUUGAAUGAACCGAGGCCACGCGGAGUACGAUCGAGGGUACAGUUCAAAAUCAACUUAAUUGUUGAACCACAAUUUAUCUAGUUAUGGAGAAUUUAAAGGAGUGUACGACUGGUUCGGUGUAGCACUCGCUCUUUAUGAGAAAGCGCCAUAACUACAUUAGUUGUGUGGGGGAUGAUUGGGUUUAAUUCAAUUGGCUUAAAUUGGGGGAGGUAGC
rfam:Common-moorhen coronavirus HKT21, complete genome